rnacentral:rRNA from 1 species
GACGAACGCUGGCGGCGUGCUUAACACAUGCAAGUCGAACGGCAGGGCCCUGCUCUUGCGGGGUGCUCGUGUGGAGAACGGGUGUGUAACACGUGAGUAACCUGCCCUUGACUUUGGGAUAACUUCAGGAAACUGGGGCUAAUACCGGAUAGGAGCUCCUGCUGCCUGGUGGGGGAUGGAAAGUUUCGGCGGUUGGGGAUGGAUUCGCGGUUUAUCAGCUUGUUGGUGGGGUAGUGGCUUACCAAGUCUUUGACGGGUGGCCGGCCUGGGCGGGUGACCGGCCACAAGGGGACUGAGAGACGGCCCAGAGUGCUACGGGGGGCAGCAGUGGGGAAUAUGGCACAAUGGGCGGGAGCGUGAGGCAGCAGCGCCGCGGUCGGAAUGACGGCCUGCGGGGGGUGAACCGCUUUCGCCUAAGACGAAGCGGGGGUGACGGUAAUGGGUGAAGAAGCACCGGCUAACUACGUG